rnacentral:rRNA from 1 species
GGGUUGUGAGGUUAAGCGACUAAGCGUACACGGUGGAUGCCCUGGCAGUCAGAGGCGAUGAAGGACGUGCUAAUCUGCGAAAAGCGUCGGUAAGGUGAUAUGAACCGUUAUAACCGGCGAUGUCCGAAUGGGGAAACCCAGUGCAAUUCGUUGCACUAUCGUUAACUGAAUACAUAGGUUAACGAGGCGAACCGGGGGAACUGAAACAUCUAAGUACCCCGAGGAAAAGAAAUCAACCGAGAUUCCCCCAGUAGCGGCGAGCGAACGGGGAGCAGCCCAGAGUCUGAAUCAGCUUGUGUGUUAGUGGAACGGUCUGGAAAGUCCGACGGUACAGGGUGAUAGUCCCGUACACCAAAAUGCACAGGCUGUGAACUCGAAGAGUAGGGCGGGACACGUGGUAUCCUGUCUGAAUAUGGGGGGACCAUCCUCCAAGGCUAAAUACUCCUGACUGACCGAUAGUGAACCAGUACCGUGAGGGAAAGGCGAAAAGAACCCCGGCGAGGGGAGUGAAAAAGAACCUGAAACCGUGUACGUACAAGCAGUGGGAGCACCUUCGGGUGUGACUGCGUACCUUUUGUAUAAUGGGUCAGCGACUUAUAUUCUGUAGCAAGGUUAACCGUAUAGGGGAGCCGCAGGGAAACCGAGUCUUAACUGGGCGUUAAGUUGCAGGGUAUAGACCCGAAACCCGGUGAUCUAGCCAUGGGCAGGUUGAAGGUUGGGUAACACUAACUGGAGGACCGAACCGACUAAUGUUGAAAAAUUAGCGGAUGACUUGUGGCUGGGGGUGAAAGGCCAAUCAAACCGGGAGAUAGCUGGUUCUCCCCGAAAGCUAUUUAGGUAGCGCCUCGUGAACUCAUCUUCGGGGUAGAGCACUGUUUCGGCUAGGGGGUCAUCCCGACUUACCAACCCGAUGCAAACUACGAAUACCGAAGAAUGUUAUCACGGGAGACACACGGCGGGUGCUAACGUCCGUCGUGAAGAGGGAAACAACCCAGACCGCCAGCUAAGGUCCCAAAGUCAUGGUUAAGUGGGAAACGAUGUGGGAAGGCACAGACAGCCAGGAUGUUGGCUUAGAAGCAGCCAUCAUUUAAAGAAAGCGUAAUAGCUCACUGGUCGAGUCGGCCUGCGCGGAAGAUGUAACGGGGCUAAACCAUGCACCGAAGCUGCGGCAGCGACACUAUGUGUUGUUGGGUAGGGGAGCGUUCUGUAAGCCUGCGAAGGUGACCUGUGAGGGUUGCUGGAGGUAUCAGAAGUGCGAAUGCUGACAUAAGUAACGAUAAAGCGGGUGAAAAGCCCGCUCGCCGGAAGACCAAGGGUUCCUGUCCAACGUUAAUCGGGGCAGGGUGAGUCGACCCCUAAGGCGAGGCCGAAAGGCGUAGUCGAUGGGAAACAGGUUAAUAUUCCUGUACUUGGUGUUACUGCGAAGGGGGGACGGAGAAGGCUAUGUUAGCCGGGCGACGGUUGUCCCGGUUUAAGCAUGUAGGCUGGUUGUCCAGGCAAAUCCGGAUAAUCAAGGCUGAGGUGUGAUGACGAGGCACUACGGUGCUGAAGUAACAAAUGCCCUGCUUCCAGGAAAAGCCUCUAAGCAUCAGGUAACAUCAAAUCGUACCCCAAACCGACACAGGUGGUCAGGUAGAGAAUACCAAGGCGCUUGAGAGAACUCGGGUGAAGGAACUAGGCAAAAUGGUGCCGUAACUUCGGGAGAAGGCACGCUGGUGUGUAGGUGAAGUCCCUGCGGAUGGAGCUGAGACCAGUCGAAGAUACCAGCUGGCUGCAACUGUUUAUUAAAAACACAGCACUGUGCAAACACGAAAGUGGACGUAUACGGUGUGACGCCUGCCCGGUGCCGGAAGGUUAAUUGAUGGGGUUAUCCGUAAGGAGAAGCUCUUGAUCGAAGCCCCGGUAAACGGCGGCCGUAACUAUAACGGUCCUAAGGUAGCGAAAUUCCUUGUCGGGUAAGUUCCGACCUGCACGAAUGGCGUAAUGAUGGCCAGGCUGUCUCCACCCGAGACUCAGUGAAAUUGAACUCGCUGUGAAGAUGCAGUGUACCCGCGGCAAGACGGAAAGACCCCGUGAACCUUUACUAUAGCUUGACACUGAACAUUGAGCCUUGAUGUGUAGGAUAGGUGGGAGGCUUUGAAGCGUGGACGCCAGUCUGCGUGGAGCCAACCUUGAAAUACCACCCUUUAAUGUUUGAUGUUCUAACGUUGGCCCCUGACCGGGGUUGCGGACAGUGUCUGGUGGGUAGUUUGACUGGGGCGGUCUCCUCCCAAAGCGUAACGGAGGAGCACGAAGGUUAGCUAAUCCUGGUCGGACAUCAGGAGGUUAGUGCAAUGGCAUAAGCUAGCUUGACUGCGAGCGUGACGGCGCGAGCAGGUGCGAAAGCAGGUCAUAGUGAUCCGGUGGUUCUGAAUGGAAGGGCCAUCGCUCAACGGAUAAAAGGUACUCCGGGGAUAACAGGCUGAUACCGCCCAAGAGUUCAUAUCGACGGCGGUGUUUGGCACCUCGAUGUCGGCUCAUCACAUCCUGGGGCUGAAGUAGGUCCCAAGGGUAUGGCUGUUCGCCAUUUAAAGUGGUACGCGAGCUGGGUUUAGAACGUCGUGAGACAGUUCGGUCCCUAUCUGCCGUGGGCGCUGGAGAAUUGAGGGGGGCUGCUCCUAGUACGAGAGGACCGGAGUGGACGCAUCACUGGUGUUCGGGUUGUCAUGCCAAUGGCACUGCCCGGUAGCUAAAUGCGGAAGAGAUAAGUGCUGAAAGCAUCUAAGCACGAAACUUGCCCCGAGAUGAGUUCUCCCUGAGACUUUAAGUCUCCUGAAGGAACGUUAAAGACGAUGACGUUGAUAGGCCGGGUGUGUAAGCGCAGCGAUGCGUUGAGCUAACCGGUACUAAUGAACCGUGAGGCUUAACCUUACAACGCCGAAG